rnacentral:rRNA from 1 species
AGUGAACGCUGGCGGUAGGCCUAACACAUGCAAGUCGAACGGCAGCACAGUAAGAGCUUGCUCUUACGGGUGGCGAGUGGCGGACGGGUGAGGAAUACAUCGGAAUCUACUUUUUCGUGGGGGAUCACGUAGGGACACUUACGCUAAUACCGCAUACGACCUACGGGUGAAAGCAGGGGAUCUUCGGACCUUGCGCGAUUGAAUGAGCCGAUGUCGGAUUAGCUAGUUGGCGGGGUAAAGGCCCACCAAGUGGACGAUACGUAGCUGGUCUGAGAGGAUGAUCAGCCACACUGGAACUGAGACACGGUCCAGACUCCUACGGGAGGCAGCAGUGGGGAAUAUUGGACAAUGGGCGCAAGCCUGAUCCAGCCAUACCGCGUGAGUGAAGAAGGCCUUCGGGUUGUAAAGCCCUUUUGUUGGGAAAGAAAAGCAGCAGGUUAAUACCCCGCUGUUCUGACGGUACCCAAAGAAUAAGCACCGGCUAACUUCGUG